rnacentral:tRNA from 1 species
AGGGCAGUAGCUCCAAUUGGUAGAGCGGCUGAUUCCAAAUCAGCAUGUUGGGGGUUCGAGUCCUCCCUGCCCUGCCA